UCACUUCAGCAGUGCAUGGUCAAAAGCCGGAACCAUCUGGAGAAGAUUAGUAUGGCCCCUGCUCAAAGAUGGCACACUAAUUAGUGAAGUAUUUCCAUACUUU
rnacentral:snRNA from 1 species